UACGUAGGUGGCAAGCGUUACUCGGAAUUACUAGGCGUAAAGCGCAGGUAGGCGGUCUGAAAAGUUUCUUGUGAAAGCUCCCGGCUCAACUGGGAGAGGCCAAGGAAAACUGUCAGGCUAGAGUGUGGCAGAGGAAGCUAGAAUUCCUGGUGUAGCGGUGAAAUGCGUAGAUAUCAGGAGGAACACCAAUGGCGAAGGCAGCUCACUGGGACGGUACUGACGCUGAGACGCGAAAGCGUGGGGAGCAAACAGG
rnacentral:rRNA from 1 species